UUCUGACACGCUGUUUGUUUGUCAUCCAUCGGCAAAGGGAUGCGCCCGUGUUUAUUGGUGCCUCAUGAGCAGCAGCGACCAGAUGAGACCCAUCCACCGGGCUCUGCACUAACAUGCUAGUAAAACCACCCAGCUGGUCAGGUUGGGCAAAUGCUAUUUAAAAAUAUUAUUUUGAAAGGCUAUUGGUUCAAAAAGCUUAAUGACAAUCAAUCAUGGACAUGUUACAAAAUGUUACAGUUUCUUACAACCUCUAAUACAAGUUCAAAAUUAAAAGAGUUUCCUUAAGGGACAGGUCGAACAAAAAAUUUUGUCAUUUACUUACCCUCAUGUUGUUACAAAACUGCAUGAAUUUCUUCUGUUGAACACAAGACAAUAUAUUUUGCAGAAAGAAAAAAAAUGUAAACGUGUUUAUUCAAGCUAAAAAUGUAAUUUUUAGGUUAAUAAUUAGGUUGGAGACAGACCAGCAAAAAUCAUUUUUAUGGGACCAGUCAAAUAGAAAAUAGAUCCUUGAGGAAACAUUUGCCACUUUCUCCAGUGUACUUACACCUAUACUCAACUGUUUUUAGUUUAAAGUUUAAACUAUAAACCACACAGUUGGAGUGUGUAGCUUGUUCAAUAGUGGUGAGCCAAUAACUGUUCUGCAAAAACCGAUUCAGUCUGCCAUUGUUCAGAAAACAGUGAGUCUCGUGCUACACUCAUGCCAUUGGCUCAAACAAAUACAGUUAUGUUUAGAAAGCACCAAAGGAUCUUAACCGUAAGGUGUUUGUGUUCCACAAAAGAAUGAAUGUUGUGUGGAGUAUUCGUUUACCAUUAAGAAUGAUUCACUUCACCUUUAAAAUCAAUGGAUGAAUAACAUAGUAAAUGUCUGCAGCCACUGCAGCCCUGUAUAUAAAACAAGUCGAGCCCCUGGAACUUAAUAUUUGCAUAAGGCAUUGGAGAGGUUAAGCAGUGUUUACAAAGCUGAAGGCCGCACUGUAGCAAGAUUUCAAACUCAUUGAACAUGCCCACUUUGCAUACUAAUGUCCAGAGGUAGCUUAAAGUCUGUAUCUUUUCCCUGUAAAUCCAGGCCAGCUCCAGGGCAGAGGGAAUCUGCCCGGGCCCCGCCGCUCAUGAUAACAAUACAGCAGGAAUUAAUGAAAGGCCUGCUAGGGAUUUAUUACGACGGAGGAGACCAGAAUACGGUGCCAGAGAUCCUGGACGCUCGACAUUUGAAUACAGGCCACAAAUUAUAAACACUUUCAGUAAAUGAAGUGACUGAGUGUCUUUGUUCCACAGGCGUACAUCUUCCUAUUGCUAGCAAGGAACAGGGCGCUCAAACCACUAGCGUGGCCAGCUCUGGGAAAGGAAGUUAUUGAAGCCUGGAUUUCCUGCUUUCAGCUGUGGCCAAGAACUUGGAGGUUUAUGGCGGUUUCAGGAACUGACUCAUCUAAUGAUUCAUGGAUCAAAGAUUGCUUUUCACAUGUGUCUGGUCACGGAAAAACUUGCUAGAAUAAGAACGUACAACAGUCAAACAGUAUGCUAUAGAUGGCUGAAGGGAAGGGUAUUAUUAAAUAUAAAGGACAAGUUCUUCAGAAUAACAUUUUUUUUUUUUUUUAAAGAAGUUCAGACACCAUUUGUAUCAACAUUAAUUUCUUCCUCUGAACUGACUAAGCCCUCCAUCUGGUUUGAAUUACAAGGAUGUAACUUUGAAGUGUUGGAACUGGUCUCUCUAGCCUUUUCAGGUGCAGAAAGGGUCUAAACCAGAUGUCUGCUUAAGCACAACACUGUUUGCCUUCUACAAUUCAACAGCCUCACACACACUCCUCCCCGGCUCAGCAACAGGAAAAACAAUAGGUUCUCUCUGUGCGCUCCCGUUCCCCCACAAUCCUCCAUUCCCAGAGUCCAGAUACGACACGCCGAAGCACGACGUUACUCCAGAGGAAACAGGGCGGGCAAAUCCCAACAAAGGAAGGAAAUGACAGAGGAACAGCAGCCAGAUUCUCCCAUGCAAUCUUUCUGGAACAAGCUGAUACAUUAAAACUAUGUCAACAUCUGCUAGAAUGGUGUCUGGCAGUUUGGGACAAAUAAAAGGGAUACUUCUAUAAUUGUACAACAACAGAGAAGUAACGUGAAGUUUCUCCAGAGUAAACAAGUCUGGGAAGUUCAGUGCGAAGUACGCAGGGUUGAUGUUGAUGUUGUUGUUGUUGUUGUCUUUAAAAUAAACGACACACAUAUUAAAGCU